GUUGUACUGCGGUGUUGGUGACUGCCAAUAAUGUUUUAUGAUCUAUGCUUUGUCACUUUCGGGAGCCAAUAAGGUCUGACGGCAGUAGACUGGGCUUGUACCCAGAAACUUAAAGUCAGGCGUUCGGUACCCACCUGGUUUUUACCAGGUCAAAAACUGAGGCAAGACGGCAUUGCGGUACCCUA
rnacentral:other from 1 species